rnacentral:lncRNA from 1 species
AAUGAGCAUGAUUAGUGAUAGAAUUGUUACCUCUUGUGGCGAUUGUAACCUUUAAUGCAGAUCUAUAGAGCGAUCACGAACGAUGACAACGCCUCUACUCAGUCCACACGAACAGAUUUCUUCAAUCUCAGUGCUAGCUGCUACGAAUGAAGGCUUUGAGUGAGUGAGUGAGUGAGAGAGAGAGAGAGAGAGAGAGAGAGAGAGAGAGAG